UUCUUAUUAAGAGAGGUGGAGGGACUGGCCCUUCGAAGCCUCAGCAACCUGAUUUAUGUGAUAUAAAGGUGCUAAAUCCUGUAGGAUAUAAAAGUCCUAAUAGAUAAGAA
rnacentral:ncRNA from 2 species